rnacentral:rRNA from 11 species
GCGACCGAUAGUGAACCAGUACCGUGAGGGAAAGGUGAAAAGCACCCCGACAAGGGGAGUGAAACAGACCCUGAAACUGGACGCCUACAAGCAGUCGGAGGGCGCAAGCCUGACGGCGUACCUUUUGUAUAAUGGGUCAGCGACUUCGUCUCUCGAGCAAGCUUAAGCCGAUAGGUGUAGGCGUAGCGAAAGCGAGUCUUAAUAGGGCGACUGAGUUCGAGGGAUGAGACCCGAAGCCGGGUGAUCUAGCCAUGAGCAGGUUGAAGGUGAGGUAACACUCACUGGAGGACCGAACCCACGUCUGUUGAAAAAGACGGGGAUGACUUGUGGCUAGGGGUGAAAGGCCAAUCAAACUCGGAAAUAGCUGGUUCUCCGCGAAAUCUAUUUAGGUAGAGCGUCUCGUGAAUACCCAUGGGGGUAGAGCACUGGAUGGGCUAGGGGGUCCCAACGACUUACCAAACCUAACCAAACUCCGAAUACCAUGGAGUAAUGCGAGGCAGACACACUGCGGGUGCUAAGGUCCGUAGUGAAAAGGGAAACAGCCCUGACCGCCAGCUAAGGUCCCUAAGUUAUCACUAAGUGGGAAACGAUGUGGGAGUGCUUAGACAACCAGGAGGUUGGCUUAGAAGCAGCCACCCUUUAAAGAAAGCGUAACAGCUCACUGAUCAAGCGCUCCUGCGCCGAAGAUGUACCGGGGCUUAAGCCAUUCACCGAAACUGCGGGUGUACAUUUCUUUCGGGAUUUGUACGCGGUAGCGGAGCGUUCCGUAAGUCUGUGAAGGGUGACCCGCGAGGGCACCUGGAGAUAUCGGAAGUGAGAAUGCUGACAUGAGUAGCGACAAAGAGGGUGAGAGACCCUCUCGCCGAAAGUCCAAGGGUUCCUGCGUAAAGCUAAUCUGCGCAGGGUUAGCCGGCCCCUAAGGCGAGGCAGAAAUGCGUAGUCGAUGGGAACCAGGUCAAUAUUCCUGGGCCGGGAGGUGGUGACGAAUUCCGUAUAUGGUUAGUCCUUAUUGGAUUGGACUAGCUGAGAAGGAGUUCCAGGAAAUAGCCCCUCCAUAACGACCGUACCCUAAACCGACACAGGUGGACAGGUAGAGUAUACUAAGGCGCUUGAGAGAACGAUGCUGAAGGAACUCGGCAAAUUGCCCUCGUAACUUCGGGAGAAGAGGGCCCUAUACUUGGGCAACCAGGUAUAGGGGGCACAGACCAGGGGGUAGCGACUGUUUACUAAAAACACAGGGCUCUGCGAAG